UACGUAGGGGGCAAGCGUUGUCCGGAAUCAUUGGGCGUAAAGAGCGCGUAGGCGGCCCGAUAAGUCCGCUGUGAAAGUCAAGGGCUCAACCCUUGAAUGCCGGUGGAUACUGUCGGGCUAGAGUCCGGAAGAGGCGAGUGGAAUUCCUGGUGUAGCGGUGAAAUGCGCAGAUAUCAGGAGGAACACCCAUGGCGAAGGCAGCUCGCUGGGACGGUACUGACGCUGAGGCGCGAAAGCGUGGGGAGCAAACAGG
rnacentral:rRNA from 1 species